AUAUAUGUGUGUGUGUGUGUGUGUGUGUGUGUGUGUGUAUGUAUAUAUACACACAUAUAUAUGUAUAUACAUAUA
rnacentral:miRNA from 1 species